rnacentral:lncRNA from 1 species
CCCACACGUAAUACUUUAAGCAUCCCUUUUGAAUGUAAAAUCAGUAGCCUGAAUCAGUCUGGUCAGGCAUGUAUUAUUUAAAAGCAUUAAGGAUAUUGCUGGGUAAAGUAAAUGCUCUUUUUUUUUCUGUUAUCAAAGCAAUUGUAUAUAUUUUCUGAACCUGCUUAUAUUUAACAGUCCUAGUUUUUGUGCCUUAAAUAUGACAUUCAGAAACCACUGGAGAGGUGAAAGUCAACUAUAAAAAAAUUUUUUUUCAGUUUUUCUCUAGAAUGUUAACCAGGGUUGGAUUUUCUCUCUUCCCCAACCCUUGACUGACCAUAUGAAAAACCCCUCCCCACCCACAUCCAUGUCUCUAGCUCAAGGUGGACAGGUAGGUGAUACUUGGGGUAUCAUAAAACGUGACCUUUCUUCGCUUUGUGAAGGCUCUCCACACUGUCUUCAGUGUUCUGGAUCAGUCCUAAAUUAUCUGGGGGCCCCUGGGGCAUUUACUUUCCUGGAACGUUUUCUUCUGCCUGACUUAAGGCAGGGCACGACGCACUGCUAGCUGGCGUCCUGUUGGCUCCCACCAAGAACCUCUAUCUAAUGAAUCAGUUUGUCCUUCACCCCUUUUUCUUGCA